GUGUAUCUGAAGAAGUGUGCAUGCACACGAAAGCUCAUACCAAGAACUAACUUAGUUGGUCUUUAAGGUGCUACUGGAAGGAAUUUUUUUGUUUUGUUUUGAUGCCAGGGGAAAGUGUGAGCCUUUCUCAAGGUGCCUAAUUUUGCAUGUGGACUCUGUUUGGUUUGGGCUGUCAUGUGAUCAGUGUGAGCCUCCGCCCACAUUUUGAAGCCCAGUGUAGCCCAGACACGGGUUGACCACCCCAGUAAAAACAAGCUCUCUGCAAAAUGGUCCACCUCCUCAAAACUCCUCCUGCUGCUGCUACAGAUAUGGCGAUUGCAAAGACAAAGAAGAACAGCAGCCGCACAGAUAGUCCUUCAGACCAAAAAAAAGAUAGCAACCAAAAUCAGUUUAGGGGGGGAAAUGUAGGUUGGGUGGAAUACAGAUAUAUUUCUUCGGGGUUAUAAUUUUUUAAAAAGAAGUCCCUGCAGAUCACAUGUU